CAGGGACACCGGCCCUCGUGGACUGAGAUUGCCCACCCCUGGUCUAGCUUAACCCCUCAGCUCUUUUUGCUCUAACUCGCUUCAGUUAUUACCAGGCCGCGUGUUUCACUGAGGCGUGCCCUGUAUUUAAAGUAAAAGCGCAUUCACCUAGACGCUGAACUAAAGAGCCAUUAAGUGGAUCGUUUGGUUGCUUUCAAUAAUACUUCACGGCCUUUGUCAGGUGGCAUUUUGCUCAGGUGUAAUGGACGUGGUUUAAUCAGAUGUCAUCAGUUUCACACACAGACCAUGCGGCGACACCUGAGCCACAUCCGUGACAACAAAGCAAGCUGCUGCUGCUCAUGACGAAGGACCUUUACACUAUUUUGCUGUUGAAGACCUGACCAGCACAGACCCGUUCAAUACUCUUGCUAUCAUCUCGGUCACACAGCAAUCCAGACCUCAGCGUCGGUGACUGACCUCACUGAUGCAUUUUGUUUACAGGAUGGGAGCAAAUUCCUGCAGGUGCAAUGUUGAGCUCCUGGCCCUCGCACCUGGCUCUCUGCACUGCCUGAUCCUCCAGACAACAUGCAUCACAGACAGAAGAGGGGAGCCUCAGUUCAAAGCCGGGAAAAGAGAGGAGAAUUGUUGCCAUUACUGAUAAUGUUAGGAUGUGUACUUUUUGUCAUGUCUGAUCUCUGAAUCAGUCGUCUCCAAGUCUGUCAUCACCAUUUCUGGGUUUCAGUGGUUUCUGAAGGCAACCUCGCAACCAUUAAAAGUUCAAAAUUUAAGGUAAAAAGUCUGUCUGGCCAUUAAGAAACACAGACAUGACAAUAAAGAAUGGGAGAUAUUACAACAGGGAAUCUUUCAUCUCAUGCAAAUGCUUUUCAGGCGCACUACCGCAAGAACCUAGAGAAAUAUAGAGUAUGACACACUGUCCAAGAUCAAAGUAAGAUAUUUUAAAGCCUUUUUGUGUGAGUUCUGAUAAAAAACAAAACAAAACCUGACACAAAUAUUAACUAAAUAGCUUAAGAGUCAGCUAAAAUUAGAUCUGCCUUUACAGCAGGAUGAUUCAGGCCAAUAAAGACUCAAAGAUGGCACCAUUCUCUGGUCCAAAAACAGCUGCCAGCUGUGAGUAUGGAGAUGGGCUGAUCAUUAGAUAUGCUUAAUAACAUUUGGGCAACCAUUUAGGCAGCACUGGCACUCAGAUCACGGGAGUUAGUGUUCGCCAUUCAGAGCAAGUCUGCCAUGAGUCUGGCAAUAAGGUGUGCUUAAUCUAGACUCUGGCUGGGGUACACCAGUUUGGCAUAUGUGAAAUCUACAGUAUGUUUCUAAACCGUCUGAAGGUGCUCUCUAAAACGGUAAUACUGGCAUGGCAUGGAGCAAAAGGUCCAGGUCAAGCUGAACAUGGUUGCAUGGCCUAACAAAUGAGGUAUGGUGGCACCCAAAACAAACUGUUCCUGAGCCAGGGCAGUGAUUUUCAUGUCUGUUUUUGAUACAGUGCCACCUGAGGGCCUGAAGAUUGUGGGGUUCACAUACUGAAUUUCCUCCUUGUCCCUUGU